GAUGAACGCUGGCGGCGUGCCUAAUACAUGCAAGUCGAGCGAACAGACGAGGAGCUUGCGCCGCGGACGUUAGCCGCGGACGGGUGAGUAACACGUGUAUAACCUACCUAUAAGACUGGUAUAACUUCGGGAAACCGGAGCUAAUACCGGAUAAGAUCUUGAACCGCAGGGUUCAAUAGUGAGAGACGGUGUUUCGGGCUCGUAUAGAUGGAUCCCGGCCGCAUGAGAUGGUUGUGAAGGUAACGGGUUACCAAGGCAACGAUGCGUAGGCGAACUGAUAGGCUGAUCGCCCACACUGGAACUGAGACACGGUCCAGACUCCUACGGGACGCACCAGUAGGGAACGUGACGCAACGGGCGAAAGCCUGACGGAGCAACGCGGAGUGAGAGAUGAAGGUCUUCGGAUCGUAAAACUCCGUUAUUAGGGAAGAACCAAUGUGUCAGUAACCAUGCCCGUAUUGACGGUACCUAAUCAGAAAGCCCCGGCUAACUACGUG
rnacentral:rRNA from 1 species